GACCUGGUAAGAAUCCGGGUUCUCUUGAGGUCUGUAAUAAUGACAGCUUCGUGGGCUUGUUUUGAAAUGGAGAUGUCAUCCCCUGGAGAGCCCUCAGCCAAGAGCAGGUUACCAAGCUCUGAGGAGGUGCACCUGUUGGUAUGUUUAGCGGACACCUUGCUCUUUCACUUGCGUGACCUACGCAAACCUCGCACCACUCUAUGAAGUUGGCUCAUCCCUCUGCACUACAGAUUACAGCGGGGGCUCAGGCCACGAGCCAGUGCGAGGGAGCUCUGGCUCGGGGUCACCUGUGAUAUGCUUCCGGCCUCAGGUAUAAUGUACCUGUCUGAAACCACUGUUGAGUCCUUCACAGCACUGUCCCCAGCUGCACGGGGAUUGGAUAGAAUGGGAAGCAAUGCAGGGUGUGAACUUAACGUGUCACAUACACGGGCACAAUGUGCGUCCUUCGCAUCCCUUGACUCAGGCUCUCUUGGGUCUGAUAUUAUAAUGAACUCCAGAAGCCACGUUUUUGCCCCUGAACUGAAUUUGUUUUUCAGGUCCAGUUCCCAACUCCCGGAGACAAAGCAGCCCUUGUGAAGUAGGAGCAGGGUCCUCUUGCAAGGAGCUUUGCUUGGAAGACAACACCGCUCUGGCCUUACACCUCUCUCCAGUGCUCCUGAGCAGAGACAAGAGCCUGCAUUUGCAUGGUUGGAAGCGGCUCUUGGGGCUUCUGCCCAGGAUGAGUUAGAUUUGGUGACAGUGCCACCUCCAGCAGCACCACACGCUGUGACAGUAGAGAAAAUAGCAGGCUGAGCCUUCACAGUUCUUUACCUUGCACCAACGGCCACGGAACAUGAACACGACUCAGAGCCUCUCCCUUUUAUACUCUUCAGCUGCAUGGGAG